AGCCGCGCGGUGAACACAAAGCGAACUAUUCUUUCGCCUUUUACUAAAGAAUACCGUGUGUUCGCCGCAAUCAGUGGCAUACGCUUAUUUUUGUAGGGUCUUCUUGCUUGCGCGAAGG
rnacentral:snRNA from 1 species